ACUCAAUCACGAAAUUUUGGAUAUAUGCGUGUGUGCGGAUGUGGGUUUUUCUUAGAAUUUACGCUCAGACUGUAUUAAACUAUGUGGUGUAUGGGUUUUUUUCUUGAAUUUAUGUUGAAACUAUUUUUAAACUUCGGGUGUUGUCGUCUCCUAAUUCUUUUAUUUCUUUGAAUGUAUUUUUCAUUAUUUUGUAUUUAAUGUCGGUUGUUCAUGGAAAGUUGUUAAAAGGUUAAACCCUAACCUUAAGGGUCUCCCACCACCCCUAUCCUGGAGUAUCGUGAGGGAGGUAAAUCGUAGGUUAUGCCUCCAAGGGUACAGGGUGGAAGGCUGCUUGUACACUUACACUUACCCAAUAGCCAAAUUCAUAUUUCAGGAUUCGAACCCUUGACGCAGCAGCCUCAAGCAAAGCUGGAUUUCUCCACCCUCCCCUUUUACCACUUGGAGAUGUGCCCUA
rnacentral:lncRNA from 1 species